UACGAAGGGAGCUAGCGUUGUUCGGAAUCACUGGGCGUAAAGCGCACGUAGGCGGACCUGCAAGUCGGGGGUGAAAGCCCGAGGCUCAACCUCGGAACUGCCUUCGAUACUGCGGGUCUCGAGUCCGGGAGAGGUGAGUGGAAUUCCUAGUGUAGAGGUGAAAUUCGUAGAUAUUAGGAAGAACACCAGUGGCGAAGGCGGCUCACUGGCCCGGUACUGACGCUGAGGCGCGAAAGCGUGGGGAGCAAACAGG
rnacentral:rRNA from 1 species